CCCAUCCAUCCCCUCACUCACCGCCGCCGCUCAUUCCAAAUCCUCCUCGAUUUCCUCAGCCACCCAACCAGCCUCAACGUUCCCGAUCCACUCCACCCGAGCCAGCCCGCAGUACCACCUACCUCGCUCGAUCUGUGCGCUUGCCCAACCGGCGCUGCAGCUCUCCACCUGCUCGAUCCAAGGAAAGGAGAUCCUCUCCCGAAGCCCCUGUCUCUUCUCUCGCCCAUCCCUAACCUCUCUCUCAUGCCCCGUUGCCUCUCCCUCUGUGUACCAGGAACAUCCAUGGUGGCUACAGCUCCCUCGCCGCCGUUUGCACCAGGUCCAACCGGGAGACGGACGGAUCCAUCCUCCCGCGUCCACCCCGCAUCUCGUUCAUCCCAGAGCACUCCUGCUACGCCAAGUCCACAAGAUCCAUAGCUGCAGGGAACGAGGCGCACUCCGCCCCGAUUGCAUGGACCCCGGCCGGAUCGACGCAGUCCGCCGCUGUCCUGCUUCCCUAGCUCGGGCACGAGCGCCCCGUCUUCCUCCUCGUUGCGCGGAUCCAGGAGGAGCCCCCGCCAGCACCGCCGCUCCUCUGCGCCCUCGCUGCACCAAGCCGGCAUGUACGCCGAUGCCUGGAGCUCCAAGUCUGUGGCCGCCGCCUUGCCUCGUCGCCGGAGUCCCGCUCCUCUGCGUCGCGCCUUCAUUGACCCAGCCGAGCGCCUCCUCUGUUGAAUUGCGACCUCGACGCUCUGCUGACCCUGUCGUCUCGCCAAGGCCGGCUUCUGACGCCCGUUCCUCUGCAUCGAGUGAGGCAGUUCCAUCCAGAUCGAUCCUGCACAGUCAACGCAGCGCAGCGCAGCGUCAAGCCCCAACCGCAGGCCCAGCGCGCCUAAGCCGGCCUGCUCGCUAGGCCGCCGCCAGCUUCCCUCGCUGACUGGGCUUGGCCCUCUGUUCCGUUAACGUCGCGUUUGUGAGGAUCCGUUCGACCUCGUCCAUUUGUCUUCUUCAUGGACUCGUUCUUCUUCCUUGCGGGAUCUCAGGUCCACCUCAUACUUUUACCUUACCCAUAAGCUUAAAUAGUCUUGAUCGCGAGGGUGUGAGAUUGCUGAGUCCCCGUGGCUCACAGAUACUUCCAAAACCAGCUUGCAGGUGCCGAUGAGACCGUGCAGAUGACGCAACCAAGCUCAAGGAGGAGUUCGAUGAAGAUCUUGUCCUUUGUGUUGUUUCGUUCUAGUUGAUCAGUAGUGGAGCCCAGUUGGGGUCGAUCGGGGAUCUGUGUAGCUUUUGGGGUAGUCUUCUUUUAUUUUGGCUCCGUAGUCGGGCCUUGAUUGUAACUGGUUGAUGUAAUGCUUUAUUCAUGUAAUUGUGUGAAGUGGUGAUUGUAAGCCAACUAUGUAUCUCUUUUCCCUUAUUUAUUACAUGAGUUGUGUGAAGAUUACCUCACUUGCGACAUUGCUUUCAAUGCGGUUAUGCCUCUAAGUCGUGCUUCGAUACGUGGGAGAUAUAGCCGCAUCGAGGGUGUUUCAAGUUGGUAAUCAGAGCCUUCCCCGACCUUAGGAGCCCCAUUGCUUGAUCGUAUUAGCGG
rnacentral:rRNA from 1 species